CCUCAUGAAGUAUCUUCACCACGCCCGGGUUUAGAUGUAGACUACAGAGCUAUAGGAUAACCUAGGCUACUAAACAUAUUUAUGUUUCCAGCGCUUAGCCAGCCUACCUUUCGAGGCGAUUCCACAGAAGCUAUACAGGAGGAACACCAAGUGCCGUUGGGGAAUCAUAUUCUUAACGCUUCCUUCAGCAGCAAACUAUGCUGGCCUCACGUUGUCUUCUGUUUUCGACUGGAGAAGCUCUCGGGUUUAUCCAGGUGCGCUUGCAGUCUGAAACCUGAGAAGAAUCUCAUAGGCUCCUUGGUCUACGUAGGAACGGAACUCAGUUCUGCUGUCAAUGCAAAAUGAAAUCCUGCAACUAGUGAGUUCCGGUCCCUCGGCAACCUGACACGCUCAACCCCAUCGCCUCCUCCCUUCUCCAGAACAUGUCUGCAAUCCGUCUCCUCAUCAACUCAUCCCUGACCACUGGCUGUGUACCCUCUGACUUCAAAAGGAUGUGUGAUGAGCUUCAUCCCAAAAUGGCAGCCUCCCCCCCUGCAUAGUGCACUACUUUUAACCAGAAACCAUAGAUCUAUGUGGAGAAUAGGGUGCCAUUCAGGAUGAAUACUAGGUUAAAACUCUUUAUGUUGAUCUUUUCCCUCUGGCUUCCAGUAACGUUUUAUUAUUUACAUUAUAUCAAUUUGAAAUAUGUACGUGACCCAUCUGCUCCAGAUAUUUGUUUAAUUUCAAUACUAAACCUGAUUAAACAACAUGGUUUUGAGGA